rnacentral:rRNA from 1 species
CUAAUCGAACCAUCUAGUAGCUGGUUUCCCUGCCGAAGUUCCCUCAGAUAGCAGAAACUCAUGUCAGAUUUAUGUGGUAAAGCGAAUGAUUAGAGGCCUUGGGGUUGAAACAACCUUAACCUAUUCUCAAACUUUAAAUAUGUAAGAACGAGCCGUCUCUUAAUUGGACCGCUCGGC